UCACUGUUUGCACAGGCAGUCUCAUUAGAGUCCCCGGCAUAACCCGCUGGCAACUAAUGAUAGGGGUUGCGCUCGUUGCAGGACUUAACCUAACACCUCACGGCACGAGCUGACGACAGCCAUGCAGCACCUAGUUUCUGGUCAUUGCUGACUGACAUGUUUCCACAUCAUUCCAUAACUUUCAAGCCCGGGUAAGGUUCCUCGCGUAUCAUCGAAUUAAACCACAUGCUCCUCCGCUUGUGCGGGCCCCCGUCAAUUCCUUUGAGUUUCAACCUUGCGGUCGUACUUCCCAGGUGGAUAACUUAAUGCUUUCGCUCAGACGCGUACAGUGUAUCGCACACAUCGAGUUAUCAUCGUUUAGGGCGUGGACUAC
rnacentral:misc_RNA from 1 species